CGCCUCUUGCACUUUAUAAGAGGUCUAGCCUGCCCAGUGACUUUGUUCAACGGCCGCGGUAAACUAACCGUGCAAAGGUAGCACAAUCACUUGUCUCUUAAAUCGGGACCUGUAUGAAUGGCAUCACGAGGAUUUAACUGUCUCCCUUCAUCAAUCAGUGAAACUAAUCUCCCUGUGAAAAAGCAGGAGUAUAUAUACAAGACGAGAAGACCCUAUGGAGCUUAAAACUAAUAACACUUGCUCUUUAUUCUCUAUUCCAAAAUAAUUAUCUUAUAGCACCGUGAUUAUAAGUUUUUGGUUGGGGUGACCAUGGAAAAAAACUAAACUUCCAUGCUGCUUAUUAAAUUUAAGAACUUCAUUUCUAUAAAUCAACAAAUUGACAUAAUUGACCCAAACACUUGAUCAACGAACCAAGUUACCCUAGGGAUAACAGCGCCAUCCACUUCAAAAGCACAUAUUAACAAGUGGGCUUACGACCUCGAUGUUGGAUCAGGAUUUCCAAGUGGUGCAGCCGCUACUAAAGGUUUGUUUGUUCAACAAUUAAAAUCC
rnacentral:rRNA from 1 species